AUUGAACGCUGGCGGCAUGCCUUACACAUGCAAGUCGAACGGAAGCACGGGGGCAGCCCUGGUGGCGAGUGGCGAACGGGUGAGUAAUACAUAGGAACGUGCCCGGUCGUGGGGGAUAACGUAGCGAAAGGUACGCUAAUACCGCAUACGAUCUGAGGAUGAAAGCGGGGGACCUUCGGACCUCGCGCGAUCGGAUGGGCCUAUGUCAGAUUAGCUAGUUGGUGGGGUAAAGGCCUACCAAGACGACGAUCUGUAGCUGGUCUGAGAGGACGACCAGCCACACUGGAACUGAGACACGGUCCAGACUCCUACGGGAGGCAGCAGUGGGGAAUUUUGGACAAUGGGCGAAAGCCUGAUCCAGCCAUGCCGCGUGCAUGACGAAGGCCUUCGGAUUGUAAACUGCUUUUAUUCGGGACGAAGAGGCGUUGGCUAAUACCUGGGGGUCUUGACGGUACCGAAAGAAUAAGCACCGGCUAACUACGUG
rnacentral:rRNA from 1 species